rnacentral:rRNA from 1 species
UACGAAGGGGGCUAGCGUUGCUCGGAAUCACUGGGCGUAAAGGGUGCGUAGGCGGGUUUUUAAGUCAGGGGUGAAAUCCUGGAGCUCAACUCCAGAACUGCCUUUGAUACUGAAGAUCUUGAGUCCGGGAGAGGUGAGUGGAACUGCGAGUGUAGAGGUGAAAUUCGUAGAUAUUCGGAAGAACACCAGUGGCGAAGGCGGCUCACUGGACUGGUAUUGACUCUGAGGUACGAAAGCGUGGGGAGCAAACAGG